GUCGAGGAUCUUCCGCAAUGGGCGCAAGCCUGACGGAGCGACGCCGCGUGGAGGAUGAAGGCCUUCGGGUUGUAAACUCCUGUCACAGGUUAUGAAUGACGACGUGCUAACACCACGGCGUUUGACAAAGGCCUGAGAGGAAGCCACGGCUAACUCCGUGCCAGCAGCCGCGGUAAUACGGAGGUGGCAAGCGUUGCUCGGAAUCACUGGGCAUAAAGGGCGCCUAGGCAGUGCGGCAAGUCGGCUGUGAAAUCCUUCGGCUCAACCGAAGAAGUGCAUCCGAAACUGCCGCGCUAGAGGACGAGAGGGGAGAGUGGAACUCCUGGUGGAGCGGUGAAAUGCGUAGAUAUCAGGAGGAACGCCGGUGGCGAAAGCGACUCUCUGGCUCGUUCCUGACGCUGACGCGCGAAAGCUAGGGGAGCGAACGGGAUUAGAUACCCGGGUAGUCC
rnacentral:rRNA from 1 species